rnacentral:rRNA from 1 species
GAAAUGCGAUACGUAAUGUGAAUUGCAGAAUUCCGUGAAUCAUCGAGUUUUUGAACGCAAGUUGCGCCCGAGGCUUGUUCCGAGGGCAUGUCUGCCUGAGCGUCAACGACCCCCUCACCCUCGCCCCAUCCGUGGGAAUCGAGGCGUGCAACUGGCCGUCCCCGGCUCGCGCCGCGGUCGGCCGAAAUGCAAGCGCCCGCGCGAAUGGCUCCUUUGGCGCCGCGGCAAGGUGGUCCGUCCUCAUACGUCGGAAUCGUCCCGCGGCCGGAGCCGCGCACGCGGCAAGGAAAAGAUGCAGCAGCUGGGCGGCGAGGUAGGGCUUCGGGGACUCGUUCUCGAUCCCGCCGCGCUCCCUCGGUUGGACCUCAGAUCAGGCAAGGCUACCCGCUGAGUUUAA